UAAGUAAAGCGGAAAUAAUUGAAGAACAAAACUUAAAAGAUUAAGGAGCAAGACCAAAAAAGUUAAACGGAAAGAAACAAACGAUCGUCUACAAUAACAAGCAAGCCAACAAGUUUAUUGACACAGGAAAAUCAAGUGUAAAAAAUGUUAACAAUACACAAAAAAAAUACGUUUAAAGGGUCUGUAAAACUCAAUGGCACUAGAAACUUGAAUAAAGUAUGAUCGAUUUUUAGAAAGCACCGAUUUCCUCUUUGAAUUUUACUGAAAAAGAAGAGAAGAUAUGUCUAGUGAGUGAAUAAAAAGGGAAUAAAAGAAAAAGAAAGAAAAUGUAUUGAUUUGUCGCGGAAAGACGAGUAAAAAGGGAAUAAAUAAGGGACGCGACAAAUCGAAAAAAAAGAAAAGGACGAGAGAACAAGUAUGACAGAGUUAUAAGGCUGUAGACAUCAAA